GUGAAAUUUGUUAUAUAUACAAUAGAAUUUCUUCUCUGCUGAUUUCUUUAAAGUCUUUUAAGUACCGUGACUUGAUGACAGGCCUCUACUGCCAACAGAAGAGUGGAAGUUGCAGCUGGGGACUCUGUGUAGUGCCAGUGCCAAUGAAGUCUCUGGAGACCAACAAUACAAGUAUUUCUUCUGGAGCAGAAGACAGUUAUGCCACUGGUGGCAUGACCUUGUCCCUCAAUUAUUCUUUGUUUCCUGAGGCGGAAAAUUAUUGGUUCAACCCUUCUGGGGUUGGAGGAAGCUUAACUGGGGCUGGGAAGCCAACAUCAGACCACGGAACUGGAGAGAAAAUCUGAAUAUGGCAGAAACUAUAAAAGAGUGAGAAGAUUUGAAAGGAGGAAAAAAAGAAAAAAUCCCUUUGUUUUAAGCCAGUUGGUUUUCUCUCAAAGGAUUUCUUUCCGAAUAAACCGUGCUGACCCAUCUGCCCACAGAUCUCUGUAGCCUGAAGUGGAUUAACUUUCCAUCUGCUGUUAUGCCAGCAUUUACUAUAUUUCCUAUAAAUUUUUAAAAGCAGAGAAAAAGGAAAUGGCAACUGGGAAACCUCCAAGCUCUUAUCCUGGAUUAACAGAUUUUGGAGGAAGUUUGAUGGAAAAUGGACAGCAGGCACAGCUUUCUCUAUCAGCAUGGCUUUAAUUUGGUACAAACUUUGUUAAAUGUUAGUUACCAUUAGUUCUAUUUGUGAAGGUCCAAACUACAGGUGUACACUCCUAAUAGGUGAAUAAAUAAUUAUAAGUAAAAUAAACAGUACACAAACUUGGGCAUGGCAACCGGGACACAGCAACACAAAUUCGUAAGGAGGACCACAAACCCUUCAGCCUGACACAACAGACUUCGCCGAUAAGUGUGACAAGGAGGGUUGUGAGUGAAGUGAAUGGGAUCCAGACUGCCUGUCUCUGUUUUGCAGAAAUCUGAAUUAGCUUGUCAGAUGGAAACCGUUAGGAGACAGUAUGAUUAUAAUACUUUGAAGACAACUCUAAGGAAAAACCUCCUCAUACAACCAACACAUUCAACUCUUGGGUGUUGCUUAAGUGCAAAGCAGCUGUGUGAGAGCCCACACACUGCUAUGGAUUGACGAACUUCACUUACCCUGGGGAAAACUGUAUUUUUCAGAGUUGAUCCUACCAAGGGUGUCUGUUCCAGCACAGAGUGCAGCAUUUAUGCCACCGUGCCACGGAGGUCUUGCUCUGAAAUGCAGGGAAAGCACAAAUGAAAGCAUAAAAAUGUCUGUACAUUCAUUUUCCUGGGGUCACAAACAAUUGCUUUGCUUGACAUGAAGACUUAAUGUAGCGCCUCAAAUCCAGAGAAAGAAAAGAAAUGGAGGCUACCCAGUGGUAUUGCUGGAAUCUGUCUCUGGGAUAGCUCCUGAUUGUUUUUGCUUUUCUCUAAUGGCCUUUGAUUAAUUUGUUGUCGGUUUUUUAAUUUUUUUUUAUUUUUUUUUUUUGCUCAUAAUAGCAGUGAUUAUACCACAACAGGGAGGAAAUCCAGGCACAUGUGGCAUGGACUGUGUUGUCCUUGGCUGAUGGAGGAGAAGCAGGGCUAAGCUGGUAGUGUCCCUGCCAUCCCCACUUGUACGGAGUCCAGCCCUCCUGCCCCGCUCCCCUCUUCCCUGCCUGCCCUUCUCCUCCAGGGAGCGAAAUGGAGCACCUCAGCCUGCCCAAACCAUCCCGUCACCCCACAAAGCUGGCUUCAUCCCUGCCUGGCUCCCGGUGAGAUUGCGUCUACCAUUUCAAAUAGCAGCUGUGUUGGCACUGCGGUUUAAGCUUGCAAUUAAAUUGCUGGUUGAGGUCUUUCAUUAAAAAAUGCCAUGGGAUUACGAAUGAUCACAAGCAAUCAAACAAAACAGGACAUCCCUAGCACAAGAGGGCUGCUGGUGCUUGGUGGUGUGUCAGGGAAAUUGUUCAAGUAUUUAACAGCCAUGAUACCAUUUACCUGCUGUGAUUUAAUGAGAUUAUAGCUCCACAGGCAGGAAUCUUGGUGAUAUGUAGAUAUUCAAGCAUGUGGAUAGGCACUCAAAAGCAAUGCUCAAACUGCUAGGCUCACAGCGAAACCUGUGAAAAUUCGGUGUUUAAGUGCUCCUGAAAAUUCCUGAAGAAGCAAAGCUUUACAGGUAAGCACGACCUCAUUUCCACUAAUUUCAAAGGACAUCAAGCAGCCAAAUUUAUUUGAGGAUCUGGUCCUAACUGCUUUAUGACAUGGGGCAUAAGAUGGAGCCAGAUGCUGAGCUUGUGCUUCUUUGUGUUUUCAGUAGCAGUGACUAUUUGUUUUACUGGUGUACGUAGGGGUGCUAAAGGCAAACUCCAGAAUGAUUUACAUAUGGGCACAUAGAUUUGCAGAUCAUGCUUGGAUUGACUGGCACACUGUUCUCGUGGUAUUCAGAACUUGAAGAAUUAGAAAUAUUUACUCUCUAUCACAUCUGCACUUGAAAAGAAACAUCUAAAACUGGUUUUUUUUUUAUAUCUGCCAAAAGAAUUGAAACUAACAAGUUGCUACUUUGUGGCUGGCAUUGAGGAGUCUACACCCUGUAUGUCUUCUACCAGCUAAGCAGCUCUGCUGUAGUGCACAGAACUAUGUAAAUGAGUUUGGGAUAGCAUAGGGACACUCUGAAAGAAAAACACAAGCAGCUCUGUGAGAACACAGUCCAUUCUAGGGAUACCGUGUUAGCAAGUGGGAGCUGCAACCCAAGUAAAAUUCCUGAGUAGACUGAAGCAAGGAUGAGACACAAUACAAACUCCACCGGGCUCUUUCUUUCCCAGGGGACAAAAUGUGAUUUAUUAAUGCCUGCAGUAGCUGCUUGUGGCAGAAAUAUGUCAAUGAGUACUACUCGUAUGGAAAGUCAGCAGAACUCCUGUCUCAGCAAAAUCAUUUGAGAAUAGGGUUUAUCAUAAGCCCCUGAUGUUACACACUAUCAUAUCAAGGCGAUGAAAGACAUUAAUUUCUUUUCUUCAGAACAACUGCAGGAGACAUACCUGAUGGGUUGACGGCCUCACUACGUGCGGGGGAAAAAUUCAUGUGCCUCUUUUGUCAGGAAUGCAUAAGUAAUCAUUUGCACUUGUUCAUUCUGGAAGAGAGAAAUUGUUUGCAUGCGAGCAACAAUAAAUUAGACAUUUUAAAUAUUUGAUUCUCUGCUGUCAGAAAAAUGUCAUUACAAAAGCAGUUUCCAGUAGCUAAGAUUUGCAAUAGAAAUUCAAGCCCUUUUGUGGAAAAGGUCUUGGAUUUAAGGAUCUCAUCUUUUUCUAUAGUGGAAAAAUAAGUAAGAACAUUGUCUAUUUAGGUGAAUCUAUAUGCGUGAUAAAAACUUUAUAGGCUUUUCAACUGGCUAUUAGAUUUAGAAUGAACCUAUUUAAGCAUCGCUGUUCUUCCCCUUAUUCGUAGCUGCAAUGCUGGAUUUUGCUAAUGCGCAUGGUUGGUUAAUGGGGUUACCACAACAUUGAACGAAUAAUUGUCAGAAACAGGGUAAAUUGUUUUCUCAGUAGUUUAUUGUUACCAUUACUGUUUUGAGAUGUAUAUCAAACAAAGUUACCUAAAUUGCCUCUGAGAACCUCAUUGCAUCAUGAUGGAUUCCUAUAAUUUAGCUGGAAAAACAGAUUGCCUUGUGGUCCUAACAGACUGUUCUGCUUCCCCCCCUUCCAAGUCAAUAGACAUUUUGGUUUUGUUUCUGAAUAAAAAUUUAACAGUUAU